AACACAUGCAAGUCGAACGGCAGCACAGAGGAGCUUGCUCCUUGGGUGGCGAGUGGCGGACGGGUGAGGAAUACGUCGGAAUCUGCCUAUUUGUGGGGGAUAACGUAGGGAAACUUACGCUAAUACCGCAUACGACCUACGGGUGAAAGUGGGGGACCCCAAGGCCUCACGCAGAUAGAUGAGCCGACGUCGGAUUAGCUAGUUGGCGGGGUAAAGGCCCACCAAGGCGACGAUCCGUAGCUGGUCUGAGAGGAUGAUCAGCCACACUGGAACUGAGACACGGUCCAGACUCCUACGGGAGGCAGCAGUGGGGAAUAUUGGACAAUGGGCGCAAGCCUGAUCCAGCCAUGCCGCGUGUGUGAAAAAGGCCUUCGGGUUGUAAAGCACUUUUGUCCGGAAAGAAAAGCUUAAGGUUAAUAACCCUGAAUCAUGACGGUACCGGAAGAAUAAGCACCGGCUAACUUCAUGCCANCAGCCGCGGUAAUACAAAGGGUGCAAGCGUUCUCGGAUUCUGGGCGU
rnacentral:rRNA from 1 species